rnacentral:rRNA from 1 species
AUUGAACGCUGGCGGCAUGCCUUACACAUGCAAGUCGAACGGCAGCACGGGAGCAAUCCUGGUGGCGAGUGGCGAACGGGUGAGUAAAGUAUCGGAACGUGCCCAGUCGUGGGGGAUAACGUAGCGAAAGUUACGCUAAUACCGCAUACGAUUUAUGGAUGAAAGCGGGGGAUCGCAAGACCUCGCGCGAUUGGAGCGGCCGAUAUCAGAUUAGGUAGUUGGGGGGGUAAAGGCUCACCAAGCCGACGAUCUGUAGCUGGUCUGAGAGGACGACCAGCCACACUGGGACUGAGACACGGCCCAGACUCCUACGGGAGGCAGCAGUGGGGAAUUUUGGACAAUGGGCGCAAGCCUGAUCCAGCCAUGCCGCGUGCAGGAUGAAGGCCUUCGGGUUGUAAACUGCUUUUGUACGGAACGAAAAGGUUUGACUUAAUACGUUGGACUCAUGACGGUACCGUAAGAAUAAGCACCGGCUAACUACGUGCCAGCAGCCGCGGUAA